AAAUCGUGGUGUUAAGAUAUAUUUCUUCGCGCGUGACAUUUAUUAACUGCAUAAUACUUUCAUCGCCAUUUUCUCACUUCUCAUAUCCACGCUAUUAAUUGUCGGUGAGUGCAAAGGAAGUAUUAAGGGGACACCAUGAAUUUCACAAGGACGCCAUGAAAUUCAAAAAGAAUAUUAUGGUAUUCUUUAAUCCUCACUUUUUUCAUGGUGUCCAACGUUGCUAUUUAAUGAUGGAUUUCACUUGGACCACGAUUACAUCAAUAAUGAUGGUCUUCACGUAAGUCAUAUGCAUUCUUGUUUUUCCGCUUAUUCAAUCAUGUCGUAGGAUGAAAGGUCCAAAUCGACAUAGAUGACUGUAUUAUGUAGAACUUUUGAUGAGUAUAACGACUGCGGAUAUUUACUAGUGAAUAGUAAUAUUUUAUUUAUUAAUUUAGGAUAGAAUCUUCUUGCAUAUCACGUUUUCUGAUGGUGAUAAUUAUACAUUAAUAAUUAAUAUGAGUGAUAUGAUAAAAUGA